rnacentral:rRNA from 1 species
CAGAUUGAACGCUGGCGGCAGGCUUAACACAUGCAAGUCGAGCGGAGUGAUGGUGCUUGCACUAUCACUUAGCGGCGGACGGGUGAGUAAUGCUUAGGAAUCUGCCUAUUAGUGGGGGACAACAUUUCGAAAGGAAUGCUAAUACCGCAUACGUCCUACGGGAGAAAGCAGGGGAUCUUCGGACCUUGCGCUAAUAGAUGAGCCUAAGUCGGAUUAGCUAGUUGGUGGGGUAAAGGCCUACCAAGGCGACGAUCUGUAGCGGGUCUGAGAGGAUGAUCCGCCACACUGGGACUGAGACACGGCCCAGACUCCUACGGGAGGCAGCAGUGGGGAAUAUUGGACAAUGGGCGCAAGCCUGAUCCAGCCAUGCCGCGUGUGUGAAGAAGGCCUUAUGGUUGUAAAGCACUUUAAGCGAGGAGGAGGCUACUGAAGUUAAUACCUUCAGAUAGUGGACGUUACUCGCAGAAUAAGCACCGGCUAACUCUGUGCCAGCAGCCGCGGUAAUACAGAGGGUGCAAGCGUUAAUCGGAUUUACUGGGCGUAAAGCGCGCGUAGGCGGCUAAUUAAGUCAAAUGUGAAAUCCCCGAGCUUAACUUGGGAAUUGCAUUCGAUACUGGUUAGCUAGAGUGUGGGAGAGGAUGGUAGAAUUCCAGGUGUAGCGGUGAAAUGCGUAGAGAUCUGGAGGAAUACCGAUGGCGAAGGCAGCCAUCUGGCCUAACACUGACGCUGAGGUGCGAAAGCAUGGGGAGCAAACAGGAUUAGAUACCCUGGUAGUCCAUGCCGUAAACGAUGUCUACUAGCCGUUGGGGCCUUUGAGGCUUUAGUGGCGCAGCUAACGCGAUAAGUAGACCGCCUGGGGAGUACGGUCGCAAGACUAAAACUCAAAUGAAUUGACGGGGGCCCGCACAAGCGGUGGAGCAUGUGGUUUAAUUCGAUGCAACGCGAAGAACCUUACCUGGCCUUGACAUAGUAAGAACUUUCCAGAGAUGGAUUGGUGCCUUCGGGAACUUACAUACAGGUGCUGCAUGGCUGUCGUCAGCUCGUGUCGUGAGAUGUUGGGUUAAGUCCCGCAACGAGCGCAACCCUUUUCCUUAUUUGCCAGCGAGUAAUGUCGGGAACUUUAAGGAUACUGCCAGUGACAAACUGGAGGAAGGCGGGGACGACGUCNAGUCAUCAUGGCCCUUACGGCCAGGGCUACACACGUGCUACAAUGGUCGGUACAAAGGGUUGCUACCUAGCGAUAGGAUGCUAAUCUCAAAAAGCCGAUCGUAGUCCGGAUUGGAGUCUGCAACUCGACU